rnacentral:rRNA from 1 species
UCCCUACGGGGCGCAGCAGUGGGGAAUAUUGCACAAUGGGGGGAACCCUGAUGCAGCGACGCCGCGUGAGUGGAGAAGUAUUUCGGUAUGUAAAGCUCUAUCAGCAGGGAAGAAAAUGACGGUACCUGACUAAGAAGCCCCGGCUAACUACGUGCCAGCAGCCGCGGUAAUACGUAGGGGGCAAGCGUUAUCCGGAUUUACUGGGUGUAAAGGGAGCGUAGACGGUUCUGCAAGCCAGAUGUGAAAGCCCGGGGCUCAACCCCGGGACUGCAUUUGGAACUGGAAGGCUAGAGUGUCGGAGAGGG